rnacentral:rRNA from 1 species
GGGAACAUACCCUUUUCUACGGAAUAGCUCUGGGAAACUGGAAUUAAUACCGUAUACGCCCUACGGGGGAAAGAUUUAUCGGGGAAGGAUUGGCCCGCGUUGGAUUAGCUAGUUGGUGGGGUAAAGGCCUACCAAGGCGACGAUCCAUAGCUGGUCUGAGAGGAUGAUCAGCCACAUUGGGACUGAGACACGGCCCAAACUCCUACGGGAGGCAGCAGUGGGGAAUAUUGGACAAUGGGCGCAAGCCUGAUCCAGCCAUGCCGCGUGAGUGAUGAAGGCCUUAGGGUUGUAAAGCUCUUUCACCGAUGAAGAUAAUGACGGUAGUCGGAGGAGAAGCCCCGGCUAACUUCGUGCCAGCAGCCGCGGUAAUACGAAGGGGGCUAGCGUUGUUCGGAAUUACUGGGCGUAAAGCGCACGUAGGCGGAUAUUUAAGUCAGGGGUGAAAUCCCAGAGCUCAACUCUGGAACUGCCUUUGAUACUGGGUAUCUUGAGUAUGGAAGAGGUAAGUGGAAUUGCGAGU